rnacentral:rRNA from 1 species
AAUAGAUACCCCGGUAGUCCACGCCGUAAACGGUGGGCACUAGGUGUGGGCGACAUUCCACGUCGUCCGUGCCGCAGCUAACGCAUUAAGUGCCCCGCCUGGGGAGUACGGCCGCAAGGCUAAAACUCAAAGGAAUUGACGGGGGGCCCGCACAAGCGGCGGAGCAUGUGGCUUAAUUCGACGCAACGCGAAGAACCUUACCAAGGCUUGACAUACACCGGAAACGUCCAGAGAUGGGCGCCCCCUUGUGGUCGGUGUACAGGUGGUGCAUGGCUGUCGUCAGCUCGUGUCGUGAGAUGUUAGGUUAAGUCCCGCAACGAGCGCAACCCGUUGUCCCGUGUUGCCAGCAGGCCCUUGUGGUGCUGGGGACUCACGGGAGACCGCCGGGGUUCAACUCGGAGGAAGGUGGGGACGACGUCAAGUCAUCAUGCCCCUUAUGUCUUGGGCUGCACACGUGCUACAAUGGCCGGUACAAUGAGCUGCGAUACCGCGAGGUGGAGCGAAUCUCAAAAACGCCGGUCUCAGUUCGGAUUGGGGUUCUGCAACCG